rnacentral:rRNA from 1 species
UUUAGCAGAGAUGCUUUAGUGCCUUCGGGAACUCUGAGACAGGUGCUGCAUGGCUGUCGUCAGCUCGUGUUGUGAAAUGUUGGGUUAAGUCCCGCAACGAGCGCAACCCUUUAUCCUUUGUUGCCAGCACGUAAUGGUGGGAACUCAAAGGAGACUGCCGGUGAUAAACCGGAGGAAGGUGGGGAUGACGUCAAGUCAUCAUGGCCCUUACGAGUAGGGCUACACACGUGCUACAAUGGCGCAUACAAAGAGAAGCGACCUCGCGAGAGCAAGCGGACCUCAUAAAGUGCGUCGUAGUCCGGAUUGGAGUCUGCAACUCGACUCCAUGAAGUCGGAAUCGCUAGUAAUCGUAAAUCAGAAUGUUACGGUGAAUACGUUCCCGGGCCUUGUACACACCGCCCGUCACACCAUGGGAGUGGGUUGCAAAAGAAGUAGAUAGCCUAACCUUCGGGAGGGCGUUUACCACUUUGUGAUUCAUGACUGGGGUGAAGUCGUAACAAGGUAGGCGUAGUGCU